rnacentral:ncRNA from 1 species
GAAAAGACGAAGAAGAGGACGAGUAAAUGUUAUGGGUGGCUACAGCGAGUUGACGAUGAUGAGAAGGUCAGCGCCAUUCCAGCAUUGAAUAUGACCUCGGAGUCGCAGAUUGAAAAGGUUGCGCACAAACUGUGCAGUACCGAGUAGAUCGAGCCGUGUGGCUACGUUAUCAGCCAGAGUGCCCCACAAAUGUUAUCGUGGAUUCUAUGGCACUCGUCGAGGUUGACGCUGUGAAGCGUUGACAAAUCAGGGUGGUACCGCGAAGACGUUUACCCUCGCCCCUGGA